rnacentral:rRNA from 1 species
AUGCCUCAGCCCCACCGACGCUGCCUUCUUCUUCUUCUGCACACCAGAAACAGAUCCAAACGCAAUCGCCCCCAGCCCUUCUUCCUCCUCCUACACAGCCGCUAUGGGAGCCCCAAAGUAGAAGGAGCUGCUUCAAGAUCUAAAGGGCAGGGUGGUCAGAGCCAUACCAGGCACAUCCAAUUAUGUGCAGAAAAAUCUGAAAAGAGCUCCUUGCGAAAAGGAAACCUACAGAUCAAUGCAACAAAACAAAAAGGGAAAAGGGAGUGUGUGGCAGCAUCCAAAAACAAGAGAAAAAUGCUUGAUCUCAAUGAGUUGCCUCCAGAUCUCAAUGAGCUUCCUCAUGAUAUGGAUCAGCAGCAACCCAGCAUACAACAAGGAAACUGCACAAAAAAUGGUCGAUCUGUUUACUACACGCAGGCAAGUCAUGAUGGUAACCCUAUGGGCCAUGACAAUGUGGCAGGCCAGUCAUCAGCCCGUGGUGCCCCUGUAGUGGUGUCUUUGCAGUCAGAGAGCCAUACUCUUGAUGACACAGGAACCGAGGCAAAUGUUCCUGGUCCAACCAGGACUGAGCUAGAAGCUGGGGCUUUUGACAGAGCUGUGCAAGUGAUGCCAACCCUCAAAGACCUUUGUGCUACUCCCAAUGGACCUACAGGCAGGACUCAGGGGGCUCAUAACCCAGGCGACUACAAUCCAAGUACCAUGACAGGCCGUGCUACUACAGGUGAUCGUGACGGUCCUACUGCCCCGUUGGAGGCUGCAUCCCUUGCACAAGCUUCUGAUGAUUUUGUGCCCAGGGAUCCUCCAAGGUCUACUACAAAGGGUAGGGCAAAGAGUCGACAGUACAAAUCGGCGCUGGAGCUACACCCAAAGAAGAAAAACAAAUGCAGCCAGUGCCAAUCUACAGAGCACACUGCUGGUGUGUGUCCACAGAGGCUCCUGUGA